CGAAUGCUGACAUAAGUAACGAUAAAGCGGGUGAAAAGCCCGCUCGCCGGAAGACCAAGGGUUCCUGUCCAACGUUAAUCGGGGCAGGGUGAGUCGACCCCUAAGGCGAGGCCGAAAGGCGUAGUCGAUGGGAAACAGGUUAAUAUUCCUGUACUUGGUGUUACUGCGAAGGGGGGACGGAGAAGGCUAUGUUGGCCGGGCGACGGUUGUCCCGGUUUAAGCGUGUAGGCUGGUUUUCCAGGCAAAUCCGGAAAAUCAAGGCUGAGGCGUGAUGACGAGGCACUACGGUGCUGAAGCAACAAAUGCCCUGCUUCCAGGAAAAGCCUCUAAGCAUCAGGUAACAUCAAAUCGUACCCCAAACCGACACAGGUGGUCAGGUAGAGAAUACCAAGGCGCUUGAGAGAACUCGGGUGAAGGAACUAGGCAAAAUGGUGCCGUAACUUCGGGAGAAGGCACGCUGAUAUGUAGGUGAAGUCCCUCGCGGAUGGAGCUGAAAUCAGUCGAAGAUACCAGCUGGCUGCAACUGUUUAUUAAAAACACAGCACUGUGCAAACACGAAAGUGGACGUAUACGGUGUGACGCCUGCCCGGUGCCGGAAGGUUAAUUGAUGGGGUUAGCCGCAAGGCGAAGCUCUUGAUCGAAGCCCCGGUAAACGGCGGCCGUAACUAUAACGGUCCUAAGGUAGCGAAAUUCCUUGUCGGGUAAGUUCCGACCUGCACGAAUGGCGUAAUGAUGGCCAGGCUGUCUCCACCCGAGACUCAGUGAAAUUGAACUCGCUGUGAAGAUGCAGUGUACCCGCGGCAAGACGGAAAGACCCCGUGAACCUUUACUAUAGCUUGACACUGAACAUUGAGCCUUGAUGUGUAGGAUAGGUGGGAGGCUUAGAAGUGUGGACGCCAGUCUGCAUGGAGCCGACCUUGAAAUACCACCCUUUAAUGUUUGAUGUUCUAACGUUGACCCGUAAUCCGGGUUGCGGACAGUGUCUGGUGGGUAGUUUGACUGGGGCGGUCUCCUCCUAAAGAGUAACGGAGGAGCACGAAGGUUGGCUAAUCCUGGUCGGACAUCAGGAGGUUAGUGCAAUGGCAUAAGCCAGCUUGACUGCGAGCGUGACGGCGCGAGCAGGUGCGAAAGCAGGUCAUAGUGAUCCGGUGGUUCUGAAUGGAAGGGCCAUCGCUCAACGGAUAAAAGGUACUCCGGGGAUAACAGGCUGAUACCGCCCAAGAGUUCAUAUCGACGGCGGUGUUUGGCACCUCGAUGUCGGCUCAUCACAUCCUGGGGCUGAAGUAGGUCCCAAGGGUAUGGCUGUUCGCCAUUUAAAGUGGUACGCGAGCUGGGUUUAGAACGUCGUGAGACAGUUCGGUCCCUAUCUGCCGUGGGCGCUGGAGAACUGAGGGGGGCUGCUCCUAGUACGAGAGGACCGGAGUGGACGCAUCACUGGUGUUCGGGUUGUCAUGCCAAUGGCACUGCCCGGUAGCUAAAUGCGGAAGAGAUAAGUGCUGAAAGCAUCUAAGCACGAAACUUGCCCCGAGAUGAGUUCUCCCUGACUCCUUG
rnacentral:rRNA from 1 species